rnacentral:lncRNA from 1 species
AAAAUGAGAAAAAGAUAAAAAUAGACAAAGAAAAAGAAAAUUGACAAUUUCUAUGAUAAAAUAAGAUAUGGAAGAAACAGACUCCGAGAUCUAAAAAAAUGAAAAUAGAUAAUGGUUCUUUGCACCCUCAAGUUACUACUUGUAAGAACCAAUACCAAGUUAUGAUGGUUGUACUCCAACGACCUCCCGACUUUUCUACCGUGAAUACCUGCCACAUCGGUACUACAUACAUAUCCUAUAGGCCGCGACUGCUAGAGGAGUAAGCUUAUCCCGUCAAUGUCGUUUGCCUCCAAUUUUCUAAUCUUUAAGGUCACGAGCUAAUGCCACAUCGGUACUACAUACAUAUCCUUUAGGCCGCGACUGCUAGAGGAGUAAGCUUAUCCCGUCAAUGUCGUUUGCCUCCAAUUUUCUAAUCUUUAAGGUCACGAGCUAGCCCAACUUUCUAGCUAGUCGCUUUGAUCUUCAGUUGGGGGUGAACGACAUUGACAGGUUAAGCUUGCUCCUAUAAUUGUCGCAUGCCAAAGGCCGUAGAUGUUGAACAGUUCAUUAGUACGUUGUAGCAGGUGUUCACGGCACAAAAGGUGGGAGGUCACCGGAGUACAAAUCAUAACUUGAUAUUGAGUAUGAUUAAUAUAACUUGGGGGUGCAAAGAAUAGUCAUUAGCAAGAAAUUACUAUCAACUCCAUAACUAAACAGUACUUUAGAAAAUCUGAACUAUCCCAUACUUUGAUGUCUUCUCCAAUGCAUUUUUAAUGAAAGAGAAAGAAGUCAAAAGUUGGUUCCAAUGAGAAAGUUCAUAAUUUAGAUCCAGUCUAAGAAUAUUUUGCACUUUUUCCAUUCAUGUUGAAUCAUCUCUACAUAAAUAUCAUAAAGAGUAAAAAGACUCAUAACGAAUGAGCUAUGAAUACAACAAAAUCAGAAUUCUUUCACGCUCCUUUGUAUCUGCCGUAUUUUUAAACUAACUUCUUUAUAUGAUAAAUUAUACUCCAAUUUAAUAUUCUUCGCGCAACAAACGAGUACGAAUACUAGCUAGUAACAAUAAUAAGAUAGGAAAUAGCAUAACUAAUUAAAGCAUGAAUAACCUACUCUCAAACCACUUGGAUUACUACUCACAUGCAUGCCUUAAAAAUCCUUUAUAAAUAGCAUCAGAUGAUCCAUCAUCCACCACACCAGCUUAUCAUCAUUCACAACAAAUCACCCAAUCCUAAACAUACAUACUUU